ACGAACGCUAGCGGCAUGCCUAACACAUGCAAGUCGAACGAGACCUUCGGGUCUAGUGGCGCCCGGGUGCGUAACGCGUGGGAACCUGCCCUUAGGUUCGGAAUAACUCCCCGAAAGGGGUGCUAAUACCGGAUAAUGUCUUCGGACCAAAGAUUUAUCGCCUUUGGAUGGGCCCGCGUUGGAUUAGCUAGUUGGUAGGGUAAAAGCCUACCAAGGCGACGAUCCAUAGCUGGUCUGAGAGGAUGAUCAGCCACACUGGGACUGAGACACGGCCCAGACUCCUACGGGAGGCAGCAGUGGGGAAUAUUGGACAAUGGGCGAAAGCCUGAUCCAGCAAUGCCGCGUGAGUGAUGAAGGCCUUAGGGUUGUAAAGCUCUUUUACCCGGGAUGAUAAUGACAGUACCGGGAGAAUAAGCUCCGGCUAACUCCGUG
rnacentral:rRNA from 1 species